AAAAAAGGUAAGCUACUAAGAGCGAAUGGUGGAUGCCUUGACUGGUAAAGGCGAUGAAGGACGUACUAGACUGCGAUAAGCUACGGGGAGCUGUCAAGAAGCUUUGAUCCGUAGAUUUCCGAAUGGGGCAACCCAAUGUAUAGAGAUAUACAUUACCUAUAUAGGAGCGAACGAGGGGAAUUGAAACAUCUUAGUACCCUCAGGAAAAGAAAUCAAUAGAGAUUGCGUCAGUAGCGGCGAGCGAAAGCGCAAGAGGGCAAACCCAGUGCUUGCACUGGGGGUUGUAGGACUGCAAUGUGCAAGAGCUGAGUUUAGCAGAACAUUCUGGAAAGUAUAGCCAUAGAGGGUGAUAGUCCCGUAUGCGAAAAACAAAGCUUAGCUAGCAGUAUCCUGAGUAGGGCGGGACACGAGGAAUCCUGUCUGAAUCCGGGUCGACCACGAUCCAACCCUAAAUACUAAUACCAGAUCGAUAGUGCACAAGUACCGUGAGGGAAAGGUGAAAAGAACUGAGGUGAUCAGAGUGAAAUAGAACCUGAAACCAUUUGCUUACAAUCAUUCAGAGCACUAUGUAGCAAUACAGUGUGAUGGACUGCCUUUUGCAUAAUGAGCCUGCGAGUUGUGGUGUCUGGCAAGGUUAAGCAAACGCGAAGCCGUAGCGAAAGCGAGUCUGAAUAGGGCGCUUAGUCAGAUGCUGCAGACCCGAAACGAAGUGAUCUAUCCAUGAGCAAGUUGAAGCUAGUGUAAGAACUAGUGGAGGACUGAACCCAUAGGCGUUGAAAAGCCCCGGGAUGACUUGUGGAUAGGGGUGAAAGGCCAAUCAAACUUCGUGAUAGCUGGUUCUCUCCGAAAUAUAUUUAGGUAUAGCGUUGUGUCGUAAUAUAAGGGGGUAGAGCACUGAAUGGGCUAGGGCAUACACCAAUGUACCAAACCCUAUCAAACUCCGAAUACCUUAUAUGUAAUCACAGCAGUCAGGCGGCGAGUGAUAAAAUCCGUCGUCGAGAGGGAAACAACCCAGACUACCAGCUAAGGUCCCUAAAUCUUACUUAAGUGGAAAACGAUGUGAAGUUACUUAAACAACCAGGAGGUUGGCUUAGAAGCAGCCAUCCUUUAAAGAAAGCGUAAUAGCUCACUGGUCUAGUGAUUUUGCGCGGAAAAUAUAACGGGGCUAAAGUAAGUACCGAAGCUGUAGACUUGCACACAACUUAGAUUAUUUAAGUUUAGAAUAUGAGAAACUAAGUUAUGUUUAGUUAUAUUUUUACUGAUUUUUAUAGAGUAAAGAUAGAAAUAAAACUUAGUAAAAUCAGUAAAAAUAUUCUUAGGCUAAAGUUAAGUAGUUUAAGUUGUGUGCAAGUGGUAGGAGAGCGUUCUAUUUGCGUCGAAGGUAUACCGGUAAGGAGUGCUGGAGCGAAUAGAAGUGAGCAUGCAGGCAUGAGUAGCGAUAAUUAAUGUGAGAAUCAUUAACGCCGUAAACCCAAGGUUUCCUACGCGAUGCUCGUCAUCGUAGGGUUAGUCGGGUCCUAAGUCGAGUCCGAAAGGGGUAGACGAUGGCAAAUUGGUUAAUAUUCCAAUACCAACAUUAGUGUGCGAUGGAAGGACGCUUAGGGCUAAGGGGGCUAGCGGAUGGAAGUGCUAGUCUAAGGUCGUAGGAGGUUAUACAGGCAAAUCCGUAUAACAAUACUCCGAGAACUGAAAGGCUUUUUGAAGUCUUCGGAUGGAUAGAAGAACCCCUGAUGCCGUCGAGCCAAGAAAAGUUUCUAAGUUUAGCUAAUGUUGCCCGUACCGUAAACCGACACAGGUGGGUGGGAUGAGUAUUCUAAGGCGCGUGGAAGAACUCUCUUUAAGGAACUCUGCAAAAUAGCACCGUAUCUUCGGUAUAAGGUGUGGUUAGCUUCGUACUAGGAUUUACUCCGAAAGCGAAGAAACUUACAACAAAGAGUCCCUCCCGACUGUUUACCAAAAACACAGCACUCUGCUAACUCGU
rnacentral:rRNA from 1 species